rnacentral:rRNA from 1 species
UACGUGAGGGGGCUAGCGUUGUCCGGAAUCAUUGGGCGUAAAGCGCGCGUAGGCGGCCAGAUAAGUCCGGUGUGAAAGUCAAAGGCCUCAACCUUUGAAUGCCGCUGGAAACUGUCUGGCUUGAGUCCGGAAGGGGCGAGUGGAAUUCCUGGUGUCAGCGGUGAAAUGACGCAGAUAUCGAGGAGGAACGACCAAUGGCGAAGGCGCUCGCUGGAACGGUACUGACGCUGAGGCGCGAAAGCGUGGGGAGCGAACAGG